rnacentral:rRNA from 1 species
CGCGGCCUAUCAGCUUGUUGGUGGGGUAACGGCCCACCAAGGCAUCGACGGGUAGCUGGUCUGAGAGGACGAUCAGCCACACUGGGACUGAGACACGGCCCAGACUCCUACGGGAGGCAGCAGUAGGGAAUCUUGCGCAAUGGGCGAAAGCCUGACGCAGCAACGCCGCGUGGGGGAGGAAGGCCUUCGGGUUGUAAACCACUGUCGGGCGGGACGAGCCGGGGGUCGUCGAACAGGCGGCUCCUCCGACGGUACCGUCCAUAGGAAGCUCCGGCUAACUCCGUGCCAGCAGCCGCGGUAAAACGGAGGGAGCAAGCGUUGUCCGGAAUUACUGGGCGUACAGAGCGCGCAGGCGGCCAGGUGAGUCGUAUGUGAAAGGCCCGGGCUCAACCCGGGCAUGCCAUGCGAUACUGCCUGGCUAGAGGCCGGCAGGGGCCAGUGGAAUUCCCGGUGUAGCGGUGGAAUGCGUAGAUAUCGGGAGGAACACCAGCGGCGAAGGCGACUGGCUGGGCCGGACCUGACGCUGCAGCGCGAAAGCGUGGGGAUCAAACAGGAUUAGAUACCCUGGUAGUCCACGCCGUAAACGAUGGGCACUAGAUGUUGGGAGGUCUUGGGCCUCUCAGUGUCGCAGCUAACGCAUUAAGUGCCCCGCCUGGGGAGUACGG